GGUACAGCUCAGUGUAGGUACAGCACUUUGAUUCUCUUAGAAGCCAUUCUUUCACCCUGGAUCCUUCAAGAACUGGUAUAUUAAUCAUAGCAAACCAUUCUGCUAUGAAGCCAAAGGCAAGGCUUCCCAUCUUUCAUCAGCUUUUCCACCAAGAUCAGUUCAGUCAAAGGGCAUCUGAUCAAUUGACCAAGAGGACAGUAACACUGGUUCCUUGUGUGUCAUUGCCUCCCACCACUGCUCAAAAGCAAGUCUGUAUGGUUCUGCCUGGGAAAUCAAGGUCUGUUCAUAAGUUAACUACCUCUCUAUGUAGUGUGCUAAAGUUCAGCUUAUUUAAAUCUAGUUUAGCAAAUUGACAUUUUAGGUGCAUCAGGCAGAGUCUGUCAGCUUUGGUUCAACUGGGGAACGCACCGCUGUUGGAAGGGGAUAUGAUAUCUGAUGAGGGCCCAGCAUGAAUAGCAUGUAGAAAAACAUCUGGUUUUGUGUUUUGUUUUGUUGUUUGUUUUCUUUUUGCCUGCCUGCGGCUGCAGCCUAUCUCCUGCUGAGCUUCUGGUGCUGUCUUUUAGGGAACUCAGCUGAGCUGGAUUACCAAUCAAGCCCAAGGAGACAAAAGGAGGCAGGUGGAAGCAAGUGUCUGUGCCUUGGUGAGUGGAGUGAUGGAGGGAGCAGUUAAAGCCAGUGCUUCAGGAUGGCAGGGCUUGUGGCUGCCACCAGAGCAGGACAACGUGAGGGCUUCCCGAAUCUCAUGGCAGUGGAGGAGGCCAAAAGGAGCCUGCAGGGGGAUGCUUCAGUUUUCACUACGUGGGUGUGAACCGUGUCAAGCAGCGCAGACCACGUGAAUCAGUGCCGCGUGGUCCAACUGCACAGCGCCUUCCCAUCAUGAGGGGAAAUUGAUGGGAAGAACUAAGAUGUGCCGAAAUUCCCUGGUUUUGACUGUGAUGUUAUUUGAGGCCAACUAACCCCCUCUUCUAGGAUUUAACCCCAGAAAAUGCCACAGGAUAUUGGGCAAGUUAUUUAUAGUAUGUUCCUCUUAUGGCAUAGACUCAGAGGAUGCAUGACUUCAAUUGUCCUUGUUUGCCACCUGAGCUUUAGAAACCUAAGAGAAGGAAUCGUAACAUCUUAAUCCUGGAUUAAGCAACUUCUGUAUCUCUAGAAUGACAUUCCAUGUUAACACUGCAGCCACGAACUUACUCCCGAGGGACAGCUUGGCACUUUUGUCUAUUCAUGCAGUUGUCUAAAACUGCAUUCAAAUGUCCCUUCUGGAAGCAACCUUGCAUAUG